rnacentral:lncRNA from 1 species
CUGACUCAGAUUUCUCAAUCCAUGCUGGAUCUCUGUGAUGAAAAACUCAAAGAGAAAGAGGAUAAGUUGGCACGUUUAGAGAAAGCUAUCAACCCCUUGCUUGAUGAUGAUGAUCAAGUAGCAUUUUCUUUUAUUCUGGAUAACAUUGUCACUCAGAAAAUGAUGGCAGUUCCAGAUUCUUGGCCAUUUCAUCACCCAGUUAAUAAGAAGUUUGUUCCAGAUUAUUACAAAGUGAUUGUCAAUCCAAUGGAUUUGGAGACUAUACGUAAGAAUAUCUCCAAGCACAAAUACCAGAGUCGAGAGAGCUUUUUAGAUGAUGUAAACCUGAUUCUGGCCAACAGUGUUAAGUACAAUGGGCCUGAGAGUCAGUAUACUAAGACUGCUCAGGAGAUUGUGAACGUUUGUCACCAGACAUUAACUGAGUAUGAUGAACAUUUGACUCAACUUGAGAAAGAUAUUUGUACAGCUAAAGAAGCAGCUCUGGAGGAAGCAGAAUUAGAAAGUCUAGACCCAAUGACUCCAGGACCUUAUACCCCUCAGCCUCCUGAUUUAUAUGAUAACAGCACAUCCCUCAGUGUU